rnacentral:lncRNA from 1 species
GGCACGGUGGUCUCCUCAGUAACCUCUUCUCUGGAACUAGGGGGAUGAUGCUACUUAGAUCCAAGUCUGGAUACAAUCUCUUGACUGCAUAUCUGCCAUCCUCGUAUCCGAUGUAAUAAGAGGCGAAUCCACCCUCGAGAAUUUCAUCCUUGAAUUCUUGCGAAUCCUUGAAAUUCUCGAUGGCCAAACUCAGAGCGCCUC